rnacentral:rRNA from 1 species
CCUACGGGUGGCAGCAGUGGGGAAUAUUGCACAAUGGGGUAAACCCUGAUGCAGCACCGCCGCGUGAGUGAAGACUGCCUUCUUUGUUUAAAGCCCUAUCAGCAGGGAGGAAAAUGACGGUACCUGAUUAGUAAUCCCCGGCAACCUACGUCCCAGCCGCCGCGGGAAUACGUAGGGGGCAAGCGUUAUCCGGAUUUACUGGGUGUAAAGGGAGCGUAGACGGCAGUACAAGUCUGGAGUGAAAGGCGGGGGCUCAACCCCCGGACUGCUCUGGAAACUGUACGGCUGGAGUGCAGGAGAGGUAAGUGGAAUUCCUAGUGUAGCGGUGAAAUGCGUAGAUAUUAGGAGGAACACCAGUGGCGAAGGCGGCUUACUGGACUGUAACUGACGUUGAGGCUCGAAAGCGUGGGGAGCAAACAGGAUUAGAUACCCCAGUAGUC